rnacentral:rRNA from 1 species
UACGGAGGGGGCUAGCGUUGUUCGGAAUUACUGGGCGUAAAGCGCACGUAGGCGGCUUUGUAAGUUAGAGGUGAAAGCCCGGGGCUCAACUCCGGAAUUGCCUUUAAGACUGCAUCGCUCGAAUUGUGGAGAGGUAAGUGGAAUUCCCAGUGUAGAGGUGAAAUUCGUAGAUAUUGGGAAGAACACCGGUGGCGAAGGCGGCGACCUGGUCCGAUACUGACGCUGAGGCGCGAAAGCGUGGGGAGCAAACAGG